rnacentral:rRNA from 1 species
UACGGAGGAUGCAAGCGUUAUCCGGAAUGAUUGGGCGUAAAGCGUCCGCAGGUGGCUGUGUAAGUCUGCUGUCAAAGAGCGAAGCUCAACUUCGUAAAGGCAGUGGAAACUACACGGCUAGAGUGCGUUCGGGGCAGAGGGAAUUCCUGGUGUAGCGGUGAAAUGCGUAGAGAUCAGGAAGAACACCGGUGGCGAAGGCGCUCUGCUAGACCUGUACUGACACUGAGGGACGAAAGCUAGGGGAGCGAAUGGG